rnacentral:tRNA from 1 species
GGAGGGUAUGGUUCAGUGGUAGAGUGCGUGCUUAGCAUGCAUGAGGUCCUGGGUUCAAUUCCCAGUACCUCCA